AAUUGCUCAAUUUGCUUUUAUAAUAAUUGAUCUUAUAAUAACCCUGCAGAGUAUAUCCUAUAAUUUUAACAAUGCAAAUAUGAAUGAACGGUUAAUGUAUCUGCAAUAACAAUUCCCAAUACAAUGUUUAGCAACUAUGUGGGCUGUAAAGCUCUUCGUUUCCCAAUUCAUCCAAUUCAGGUUCAUCCUUUUGUUAUACUAAGAGUAGUAUUUAUUUCAGUUUCUGGUGUAUUUUUGGCUUGUAAAGAGCUCUGGGUUGUAUUUUGAGUUUGGGGUAUUAGAAUUCUGAAUGAAUGAAUGGAACUGGUGUUUGUGUAAUAUUGGUAGUAGAUUAUAUCUGUUUUGGUGGAAGAAGACUUGAGAUUUUUCCAUCAAUUCAAUGACUUGAAGAAUGAUGGUGUCAGCAAAGCUGGAAAGGAGUAUGCAGCAUAUUAACAGAGAUGUAUUAAAGAAGACUGGUUCAAGGUUGCAUCUAUAUAGAAAAAUAUAUUUAUUUGGGGGAAGAAAAAUAGUAUAUUUAUCAGAAUUUUCUUGCUGGGGAAUAGCAAAGGACUGACCUUCAGUACAGUGCAAGUCAAGGAAGAAAGUGGUGAAGUAUUCAAAGCAGAUCACCAGGCCACUGAGCUAAUUGAGCAGCAUCUUGAGGUUGAAAGCCCUAGCUUGCUUCAAUUCCAUCCCUCUAAACCAUUUCGGGUCGGAUGGUGGAUUUCGGGUGUACGUUCCACAGGACCCAACACCUUUCUGGCAGUGCAAUCCAUUUCUGAAGGAGUGCAGUCCAGAAAUACCAGCAACGUAACAAUAUGGGAUACCGGAAUUCCAUUUUACACUACUGUAUAUCAUGGUUCAAAACAGUAUGUGCUGUUGAAACAGCACCGGUUACGUCCAACUAAUUAUGUUUUUAUGUCGUAUUCAGUUCAUUUAUUUACACCUAUUCUUGUUUCAUUAGAGCACAAUU